AAUUUAAUUUAAUUUUUUUUAAUUAAUUUUUACGUUUGAAAUAAAAGAAUUCAAUUUUUUCAAUUUAAAAAAAAUAUAUAAAUAAAUAUUAUUAUGUGAGAACUGAAUUGAAUUCUUUUCCACAAAUGAUUUAUUCUAAAUGAAGCUAGAAGCUAAAAUGUGAGAUAGAUUAGAAUUAGAAUCAAUACUAAGGGGAAGAUGUUAGAGGGAGGAAAAGUUGCUUUACCGGUUUGUCAUGGAUACCAAGU
rnacentral:misc_RNA from 1 species